UUACAUGAUCUGAGUUCAGACCGGCGUGAGCCAGGUUGAUUCCUAUCUACUCAAUUAUUUUUAAUGUUAGUACGAAAGGACCUCAUUAAAUAAUUUUAUUAU
rnacentral:rRNA from 1 species